AACGAACGCUGGCGGCAGGCCUAACACAUGCAAGUCGAACGGUCGUAGCAAUACGUUAGUGGCUCACGGGAGAGUAACGCGUGGGAACCUACCUUUUGGUUCGGGAUAACAUCGGGAAACUGGUGCUAAUACCGGAUAAGCCCUUCGGGGGAAAGAUUUAUUGCCGAAAGAUGGGCCCGCGUUGGAUUAGCUAGUUGGUGAGGUAAUGGCUCACCAAGGCAACGAUCCAUAGCUGGUCUGAGAGGAUGAUCAGCCUCACUGGGACUGAGACACGGCCCAGACUCCUACGGGAGGCAGCAGUGGGGAAUAUUGGACAAUGGGGGAAACCCUGAUCCAGCCAUGCCGCGUGAAUGAUGAAGGCCUUCGGGUUGUAAAGUUCUUUUGGUGGGGACGAUGAUGACGGUACCCACAGAAUAAGCUCCGGCUAACUUCGUGCCAGCCGCCGCCGUAA
rnacentral:rRNA from 1 species